ACAAAAACAUGUCUUAUUGAUUUAAAUAUUAAGUCAGGCCUGCCCAAUGAUUUAAUUUAAUGGCUGCAGUAAUUUAACUGUACAAAGGUAGCAUAAUCAUUAGUUUUUUAAUUGAGGACUAGAAUGAAAGGUUUAAUGAAAUAUAAACUUUAUUAUAUUAAUUAAUAAAAUUUUAUUUUUUAAUUAAAAAGUUAAAAUUUUUAUAUUAGACGAGAAGACCCUAUAGAUUUUAAUAAUUUUGAUUAUAAUAAAUUUUAAGAAUUAAAUAAUUUUUUUUAUAAAAAUUAUUUUAUUGGGGUGAUAGUAUAAUUUAAUAAACUUUUAUAUAAAUAAACAUUAAUUUAUGAAUUUUUGAUCCAUUAUUGAUGAUUGAUAAAUUAAAUUACCUUAGGGAUAACAGCAUAAUUUAUUUGGAAAGUUCAAAUUGAUAAAUGAGAUUAUGACCUCGAUGUUGGAUUAAGAUAAAUUUUAGGAGCAUAAAAUUUAAAUAUU
rnacentral:rRNA from 1 species